UGGGGAACUUUGGACAAUGGGCGCAAGCCUGAUCCAGCAAUGCCGCGUGCAGGGUGAAGGCCUUCGGGUUGUAAACUGCUUUCGUACGGAGCGAAAAGGUCUGCCCUAAUACGGUGGGCUCAUGACGGUACCGUAAGAAUAAGCACCGGCUAACUACGUGCCAGCAGCCGCGGUAAUACGUAGGGUGCGAGCGUUAAUCGGAAUUACUGGGCGUAAAGCGUGCGCAGGCGGUUAUAUAAGACAGAUGUGAAAUCCCCGGGCUCAACCUGGGACCUGCAUUUGUGACUGUAUAGCUAGAGUACGGUAGAGGGGGAUGGAAUUCCGCGUGUAGCAGUGAAAUGCGUAGAUAUGCGGAGGAACACCGAUGGCGAAGGCAAUCCCCUGGACCUGUACUGACGCUCAUGCACGAAAGCGUGGGGAGCAAACA
rnacentral:rRNA from 1 species